rnacentral:rRNA from 1 species
UACAGAGGUCCCGAGCGUUGUUCGGAUUCAUUGGGCGUAAAGGGUGCGUAGGCGGUCUUCUAAGUUUGAUGUGAAAUCCCGGGGCUCAACCCUGGAAUUGCAUUGAAUACUGGAGGACUAGAGUACCGGAGAGGAAACUGGAAUUUACGGUGUAGCAGUGAAAUGCGUAGAGAUCGUAAGGAAGACCAGUGGCGAAGGCGGGUCUCUGGACAGUUCCUGACGCUGAGGCACGAAGGUCAGGGGGGCAAACGGG